AUUUCAGUAACUUCGGUCCUUUCUUCAGCUCAGCUAGAGCUGCUGGUGAAUAUGAGCGACUCGGUUGCAGGAAUUUUAGUCAUUCGACUGAACCAGUCUGAUAAUAUGAUGUCCUCUGCAGACGAUCCACCCUGAUAAGGUUUCUAGAUGGAGAUUUUGCAGUGACCACUAAUCUGUGUUCAAGAGAAAGGAGAUCUGGAGGGCCGAUGAGAUGACGUCCACGUGGAGGAGAAACCAUGGAAAGGAUGUGUUCCGGUUGGGAGGUGCUUUGAAGAUGACUGAGGGGUCCUAAGGAUACUCAAAGUUGGAGGUGGAAUAAGGCCAGGUUGGAUGAAUCUGGAUGUGUGAUGCUUAACGCAGGAAGUGGGGGGGG